rnacentral:rRNA from 1 species
UAAGGAAUAUUGGACAAUGGGCGCAAGCCUGAUCCAGCCAUGCCGCGUGCAGGAAGAAGCAUCUAUGGUGUGUAAACUGCUUUUGUACGGGAAGAAACACUCCUUCGUGAAGGAGCUUGACGGUACCGUAAGAAUAAGGAUCGGCUAACUCCGUGCCAGCAGCCGCGGUAAUACGGAGGAUCCAAGCGUUAUCCGGAAUCAUUGGGUUUAAAGGGUCCGUAGGCGGUUUAGUAAGUCAGUGGUGAAAGCCCAUCGCUCAACGAUGGAACGGCCAUUGAUACUGCUAGACUUGAAUUAUUAAGAAGUAACUAGAAUAUGUAGUGUAGCGGUGAAAUGCUUAGAUAUUACGUGGAUUACCAAUUGCUAAGGCGGGUUACUCGUUGUGAAUUGACGCUGAUGAACGAAAGCGUGGGGAGCAAACA